AGAUAUUUAUAUUAUUAAUAGGAAAGUCAUAAAUAUAUAAAUUAUAUUAUAUAAUUAAUAUAAUAAUAAAAUAAAUUAUAUAUUUUAUUUAUAAUAUUAUUUCUUUAUAAGAUAAAAUAUUAUCUGAUGAAUAAUUAGAUUGAAUAAUAUUUAUAAAGAAAUAUAUAUAAAAAGUCAUUAUAUAAAUUUAAUUAUAAUUUAAAUAAAUUUUAUAUAAAUUAAUAUAAUAUUAAUAAAGUAAUUAGUAUAAAUAAAUAAUAUGAAAAUAAAACUUAAUAAAUAUAUAAAUAUAGUCCAUAUAUAUAUAUUAAUAAAAAAAAGUAAUAUAUAUAUAUAUAUUGGAAUAGUUAUAUUAUUAUACAGAAAUAUGCUUAAUUAUAAUAUAAUAUCCA
rnacentral:RNase_MRP_RNA from 8 species